CGCACAUUGCGCCCUUUGGCAUUCCGAAGGGCAUGCCUGUUCGAGCGUCAUUACACCAAUCAAGCCUGGCUUGGUAUUGGGCGACGGGGCCGUCACGCGCCCCGCGCCCCAAUGACCCCCCGGCGGGACGGACCGAAUCUCAGCGUUGUGAAUCAAAAGCCGCUGGCGAGACGGGACGGCCGUGCCGUAAAACAACCCCCCAUCACAAGGUUGACCUCGGAUCAGGUAGGGAUACCCGCUGAACUUAA
rnacentral:misc_RNA from 1 species